rnacentral:lncRNA from 1 species
CCUUUAUACUCUAUAAACAGAGAUUCAGUGAAGCAAGCAUCUAGACCAGAGCCUUAGACACUGUGCUCUGGCUAUGAGCUGACUGGCAAAGACAGAAGAGAAAUAGAAGGUGGCUUAGGAAGUACAAGUUACUAUGGUGUUCCCAGAACAUCACAAAGAAUGUCCAUGGCCAGGAAAUGAGACAAUUUUCUGAACUUAAGGCCAAGAAGAAAGCUGACUCUCAAGAUCUUAGGCACAAGUUAGAGGAAGUCUAACAUGAAAGUGACUAAGUUGGGCCAUGAGAAAUUACGUAUGUGACCAGAAAUGGACAGGAUAAUCUUCCUUCAAGGAAUAACUUCUUUGAAUAAAGGCGGUUUCCUUUCAAGGGGCUUUGGAAAAAGAACUCUUUGCUAUAAGCCAAAAGCAAGACAGGGGCCAAGGUCAAGGUCUGAUAAAAAAGAAGGCUCAGAGGACCUAGACUAAAGUUUGAUCAAGAAGAGUCUUUAUCAAGAUGUGUGAGGACAAUUGCAAAGUUUCCAACUGACCGUGGCAUAUCCAAGUGUAACAGCGUCUCUAAGACAUACUCGAGUGAUCAAGUGAAUAAACAGAAAGUAGACUUAUAGCAGUUAAGCAUUCUGCAGAAAAUCAUGUGGCAAAUGGUGAGUCUAACUAUAAAUUAAGGUGUUCCACAGUUAUAGUUCUCAGGAACAUUAUGAGCCUCUUCUCUGUACCAUCCCAGCACAAGUUC